rnacentral:lncRNA from 1 species
GUUAACAUAUAGUUACUGCUACCAUGCACAGAAGAACAGAUCAUCUCAGUUCAUUCAUUGAACAGAAUGUAUAUGCUCAAAUGUUGCUUCACAUUGACAUAAACAUAAUAACAACAAUUCUACUUUUAAUAUCCGGGUCAGAACUGUUGCUGUUUUCCGAACCAUGCACAACAAAAACAAUCCAAAAAUUCUUGACAGGAUUCCCGGUACCCAGUAAUAUGAGAAGUUCCAUACUAAAUAAUCUCUGCUUCAAACAUGUCUAUGUAAACCUACUGCCUUCAUAAUAAAAAAUUUUCUUCCUUUUCAACUGCAUAUUUCAGAUAAAAAAAAAUCUGAUGGAGUUAUAACAUUAUGAUUCAUACGAGAACUCACCAAGGAGCUGCAACCAAGGUAGCAAAGUUAAAUCUUGCUUCCAGAAUGCUUUCUUUGAAUUUAUCUGAAGUCCUUUGUAAUUCAGCUACUUUGAAGGCUUCCAUCUCUUUCUUCUCCUUGAGCAUUUGGAUGUCCUUGUCCAACAGCGCAAUUAUGCUGUUCAUAGCUUUCUUUGAUUUGUAGCAAUUUAACCAAUUGAGUUCGUAUUGGAUAGCUUUCUUUGAUUUGUAGCAAUUUAACCAAUUGAGUUCGUAUUGGCUCAACGGUGAAACCAUAUCCUUCUAUAAUUUGUUGCGUGUAACUUCAACCAACUUUGCAAAACUCAACAUGAGCCCUAUGGCAGCCCCUUCACGGAGAUACUCAUCCAAAACUCAACAUGAGCCCUAUGGCAGCCCCUUCACGGAGAUACUCAUCCUGUUCCUUCAGGGG